AGGAUGAGAAACAGCGAAGCCGGUAAUUAGAGAUAAAUAUGAAUCAGCCAAUCUGGAGCCUGCCCGGGUACACUUUGUUAUGAAUAGGAGUCAUGCGUCAGUCCUUGGUUGAGCUUCGUUCGUGGUGGAUGUGUUCUUGAUCCUGGCACAGAGAAAUAGGUUCUGUCGACUUGCUAGAAGCGAAGCGGGGAAGUGGAGAAUGACGCGACCAGUGGUGGUGGUGGUAGUGCUGGUGUUGGUAGCGGCAGGUCUGCCCUUGGGUCAGACGCGGACUACGGGAAGAUGUAAUGGUGCGUGUCAACGCCUGGACGGAAAUGGAUUUUGCCGAACAGUAUACAACUGUCGAUCAGACACAGGAGGAGAAGCCUUGGGAUCCAUCUUUGCACCGACACCCUGCAGGCAACGGUGCUACGCCUUCGUCCGGGGACGUUGUCGUCUUAAGUUCUCUUGCCUGCUGGGAUAGCUGCAGGCCUCGCUCGUCCCUGGCAGUGUGUGUAGCUCAUCGGUAUUCCAACGUGAUAUUUGUUCACAAGUGUAUCGAUCAUUUAGAUAAAAUUAGUAGCAAGGUAAAGUAACAUAAAACUUCCUAGUUUAUUAAUUAAAUGCUCAUUUAUUGAA